rnacentral:rRNA from 1 species
UCAAGCGAACAAGGGCGCAGGGCGAAUGCCUUGGCACUGGGAGCCGAUGAAAGACGUGAUAAGCUGCGAUAAGCUUCGGGGAGCUGCAAAUAAGCAUUGAUCCGGAGAUUUCUGAAUGAGGAAACUCACCUGGGUUCAUACUCAGGUACGUUGUACUGAAAUUCAAAAUAGGUACAUCGGGGGAACCGCCUGAACUGAAACAUCUAAGUAGGGCGAGGAAGAGACAUCAAACGAGAUUCCGUAAGUAGUGGCGAGCGAACGCGGAAGAGGGCAAACCGAGAGUAGAAAUACUUUCGGGGUACGGACUGCUUUUAAGACUCAAUCUGUUAACCGAACGGCAUGGGAAGGCCGGUCAGAGAGUGUGAGAACCACGUAGGUGAAAACGGAGAGAGCUGCGCAGGAUCCAGAGUACGGCCAGACACGUGAAACCUGGUCGGAAUACGGGGGGACCACCCUCCAACCCUAAAUACUACCCAGUGACCGAUAGCGUAUAGUACUGUGAAGGAAAGGUGAAAAGCACCCCGGGAGGGGAGUGAAAAAGAACCUGAAACCCUGUGCCUACAAGCACCUAGAGCGCGUCAAAGCGUGAUAGGGUACUUUUUGUAGAACGGUCCGGCGAGCGAUUGUAUGCAGCAAGGUUAAGGACUUAAGGUCUGGAGCCGAAGCGAAAGCGAGUUUGAAAAGGGCGUUAAGUUGCAUAUAAUGGGCCCGAAACCGGGUGACCUACCCAUGGUCAGGUUGAAGUGGAAGUAAAAUUCCAUGGAGGACCGAACCGACCUCCGUUGAAAAGGCGGCGGAUGAACUGUGGGUAGCGGAGAAAUUCCAAUCGAACCCGGAGAUAGCUGGUUCUCCCCGAAAUAGUUUUAGGACUAGCCUCAAGUUAGAUACCUGGAGGUAAAGCACUGAAUAGCCUAGCGGCCGAGAGGUUAGCGAAGCUUAUCAAACUCAGAAUGCCAGAGUAUUGAUGCUUGGGAGUCAGACAGUGUCAGAUAAAUGUCAUUGUCAAAAGGGAAACAGCCCAGAUCUACAGCUAAGGUCCCAAAGUCAGGUUAAGUGGAAAACGAUGUGAAGAUACGCAGACAACCAGGAUGUUGGCUCAGAAGCAGCCACUCAUUCAAAGAGUGCGUAAUAGCUCACUGGUCGAGCGUCUUUGCGCGGAGAAUUUAACGGGGCUAAACCUGACACCGAAGCUUAGGCAAUACAGCAAUGUAUUGGGUAGGGGAGCGUUGUAUACGCGGAGAAACAGUAGCGCAAGCGGCUGUGGAGUGUAUAGAAGUGAGAAUGCCGGAAUGAGUAGCGCGAAUGCAGUGAGAAUCUGCAUGGCCGAAAGCCUCAGGUUUCUGGAGGAAGGUUCGUCCGCUCCAGGUUAGUCGGGAGCUAAGGUGAGGCCGGAAGGCGUAGCCGAUGCACAGACGGUAGAGAUUCCGUCACCACCAAAAGAGUUAAGCACAGGGACACAUUUGAAGUCUCAGAGCCGGGUGUUGGUUCCGGUAGAGAUCGAGGGAAAUUAGUACCGAAGUCUGAGAUGGAAGAUGGCGAGAAAAGCUGUGUGUAUUUCUGAGGUGCCCGUACCGCAAACCGACACAGGUAGGUAGGAAGAAGAUUCUAAGGCCAACGGGAGAAGGGUUGUUAAGGAACUCGGCAAAUUGACCCCGUAACUUCGGGAGAAGGGGUGCUCCAGAGAUGGAGCCGCAGAGAAUCGGCCCAAGCAACUGUUUACCAAAAACACAGGUUUGUGCUAAAUCGAAAGAUGACGUAUACGAGCUGACGCCUGCCCGGUGCUGGAAGGUUAAGAGGAGAUGUGCAAGCAUUGAAUCGAAGCCCCAGUGAACGGCGGCCGUAACUAUAACGGUCCUAAGGUAGCGAAAUUCCUUGUCAGGUAAG